rnacentral:rRNA from 1 species
AGGACGAACGCUGGCGGCGUGCUUAACACAUGCAAGUCGAGCGGAAAGGCCCUUCGGGGUACUCGAGCGGCGAACGGGUGAGUAACACGUGAGCAAUCUGCCCUUAGCUUCGGGAUAGCCCCGGGAAACCGGGAUUAAUACCGAAUAUGACCUUGGCCGACAUCGGCCUUGGUGGAAAGUUUUUCGGCUAGGGAUGAACUCGCGGCCUAUCAGCUUGUUGGUGGGGUAAUGGCCUACCAAGGCGACGACGGGUAGCCGGCCUGAGAGGGCGACCGGCCACACUGGGACUGAGACACGGCCCAGACUCCUACGGGAGGCAGCAGUGGGGAAUAUUGCGCAAUGGGCGAAAGCCUGACGCAGCGACGCCGCGUGGGGGAUGAAGGCCUUCGGGUUGUAACCCCUUUCAGCAGGACGAAGCGAGAGUGACGGUACCUGCAGAAGAAGCGCCGGCUAACUACGUGCCAGCAGCCGC